UGGGGAGUACCCACGCAAGUGUGAAACUCAAAGGAAUUGACGGGGGCCCGCACGAGCGGUGGAGUAUGUGGUUUAAUUCGAUGCAACGUGAAGAACCUUACCAAGACCUGACAUGUCGCGAAUCCUUAUGAAAGGAAGGAGUGCCUUAGGGAGCGCGAACACAGGUGGUGCAAGGCUGUCGUCAGCUUGUGUCGUGAGAUGUUGGGUUAAGUCCCGCAAAGAGCGCCACCCUUGUCUUUAGUUGCCAGCAUUAAGUUGGGCACUAUAGAGAGACUUCCGGUGACAAACCGGAGGAAGGUGGGGAGGAAGUCAAGUCAGCAUGCCCCUUAUGUCGUGGGCUACACCCGUAGUACAACGCUACGGACAAAGGGCAGCUCCACAGCGAUGUGAGGCAAAUCUCAGAAACAAUAGCUCAGUUCAGAUCGAAGGUCGCAACUCGCGUUCGUGAAGGAGGAAUCGCUAGUAAAUGCAGGUCAGCAUACGGCAGUGAAUUCGUUCCCGGGCCUUGUACCCACCCCCCGUCACCCCAUGGAAGCUGGUCACGCCCGUAAGUCGAUUA
rnacentral:rRNA from 1 species